rnacentral:rRNA from 1 species
GACGAACGCUGGCGGCGUGCUUAACACAUGCAAGUCGAACGGAAAGGCCCUGCUUUUGUGGGGUGCUCGAGUGGCGAACGGGUGAGUAACACGUGAGUAACCUGCCCUUGACUUUGGGAUAACUUCAGGAAACUGGGGCUAAUACCGGAUAGGAGCUCCUGCUGCAUGGUGGGGGUUGGAAAGUUUCGGCGGUUGGGGAUGGACUCGCGGCUUAUCAGCUUGUUGGUGGGGUAGUGGCUUACCAAGGCUUUGACGGGUAGCCGGCCUGGGAGGGUGACCGGCCACAUGGGGACUGAGAUACGGCCCAGACUCCUACGGGAGGCAGCAGUGGGGAAUAUUGCACAAUGGGCGGAAGCCUGAUGCAGAAACGCCGCGUGCGGGAUGACGGCUUCCGGGUUGUAAACCGCUUUGGCCUGUGACGAAGCGUGAGUGACGGUAAUGGGUAAAGAAGCACCGGCUAACUACGUG